UACGUAGGGGGCAAGCGUUGUCCGGAUUUAUUGGGCGUAAAGAGCGUGUAGGCGGCUUUACAGGUCCGUUGUGAAAACUCGAGGCUCAACCUCGAGACGCCGGUGGAAACCGUAAGGCUAGAGUCCGGAAGAGGAGAGUGGAAUUCCUGGUGUAGCGGUGAAAUGCGCAGAUAUCAGGAGGAACACCCGUGGCGAAAGCGGCUCUCUGGGACGGUACUGAUGCUGAGGAGCGAAAGCGUGGGGAGCGAACAGG
rnacentral:rRNA from 1 species